rnacentral:sRNA from 1 species
UGUAAUGGCUUUCAAAUCAAAGGAGGUUUUUACAAACACUCUGCGUUUUCUUAUAAUUUAAAGUACAAUGCAAUUUAUUCCUGACCAACUUUCAUAAUUUUUCUCUGUGUACAACAGCGCCGCGAGGAGCACGCAAAUGCGCAGUCAGUAUGUGCGAAUCUCGGAAUGUGUGUGCUGGUGUUUUCCUAGCUGGCGCUGGAGUUGGAGCUGGUGAGUCGGGGGAUGCCACUGCUUUCCUGCCUCCAGUUGCUCCUCCAGUUGUGGACUCUGCCCCCGCCGCCAUAUCUUGAUUUAUGUGUUGGAGUCCCAGUCGCUCGUCGUUCGCCGCCCGUUUGGCAUUGUCUUCCGGAUGGCGAAGCGUUUGGCUUUCUGUUUCGCCAAGUGACAACAACAGCAACAGUCGGUAACAACAACUAGAACAACAACAACAACUGUUGUCCGCUUUGUUUGCCGUUGGUAGUAAAUUUUCUUCAAAUUACAAUUAU